rnacentral:lncRNA from 1 species
GUUUCAGUAACAAGCACUUAUUAGCUAGUGUUAGCAAUUGAGGACUUGACAAAAAUAAAGCAUAUAGAAAACAAGAUUAUGGUCUCUUCUUCUUCUUCAAAGUGUAACCCAGAAAUUUUUUUAUUUUAAGAAUUAAAAACAUUAAAUUAUUUAAUGGAAUUAGUGGAUUUUUAUCUUUUUGAUGUUAGGAUGCUGAAGAAGAAGAAAGAUUUGAUGGUGAAGAAUUACCCAAAUGAAGAUGAAGAAUUAUCAAAUGAGAUGAGUUUUGAUGAAGGAGGACAAGAUAAAAGAUCAAGAAAUAC